rnacentral:rRNA from 1 species
UACGCAGGGGGCAAGCGUUGUCCGGAAUUAUUGGGCGUAAAGAGCACGCAGGCGGUUUGGCAAGUCGGAUGUGAAAACCCGAAGCUCAACUUCGGGCCUGCAUCCGAAACUGCCCGACUAGAGGUAGGUAGGGGAGAUCGGAAUUCCUGGUGUAGCGGUGAAAUGCGCAGAUAUCAGGAGGAACACCGGUGGCGAAGGCGGAUCUCUGGGCCUUACCUGACGCUCAGGUGCGAAAGCUAGGGGAGCGAACAGG